rnacentral:tRNA from 1 species
CAUUAGAUGGCCGAAAGUAAGCAAUGGAAUUUUAAACCAUACAAUAAUAUCGUUACGUAUAUUUCUUAUG